rnacentral:rRNA from 1 species
CUGACACUGACACUGAGGUGCGAAAGCGUGGGUAGCAAACAGGAUUAGAUACCCUGGUAGUCCACGCCGUAAACGAUGUCGACCAGCCGUUGGGUGCCUAGCGCACUUUGUGGCGAAGUUAACGCGAUAAGUCGACCGCCUGGGGAGUACGGCCGCAAGGUUAAAACUCAAAUGAAUUGACGGGGGCCCGCACAAGCGGUGGAGCAUGUGGUUUAAUUCGAUGCAACGCGAAGAACCUUACCUACUCUUGACAUCCUGCGAACUUGUGAGAGAUCACUUAGUGCCUUCGGGAGCGCAGAGACAGGUGCUGCAUGGCUGUCGUCAGCUCGUGUUGUGAAAUGUUGGGUCAAGUCCCGUAACGAGCGCAACCCUUGUCCUUAUUUGCCAGCGGGUAAUGCCGGGAACUCUAAGGAGACUGCCGGUGACAAACCGGAGGAAGGUGGGGACGACGUCAAGUCAUCAUGGCCCUUACGAGUAGGGCUACACACGUGCUACAAUGGCCGGUACAAAGGGUUGCGAGCUCGCGAGAGUCAGCUAAUCCCGAAAAGCCGGUCUCAGUCCGGAUCGGAGUCUGCAACUCGACUCCGUGAAGUCGGAAUCGCUAGUAAUCGUGAAUCAGAAUGUCACGGUGAAUACGUUCCCGGGCCUUGUACACACCGCCCGU